rnacentral:lncRNA from 1 species
CGUCGGGUAUGACCGGGCUGCCUGCACAGACCACACCUCUUAGGUCGGCUGGUGUCGGCUUCGUCCAUGUUGUUGCGGAUGCGGGUGGACCGUGGUCGUCCUUCUCUAGCCCUUCUCAUGCCCGGAUCGGGUAUAACCGUCGGCCCGUCAUAUGGUGGCCAAAGCCCCUCUGGAAUACAUGGUGAAAAGGACAUCUCAUACACCUUAAAGACCUCAGACAUGAUGUACACCUCAUCAACAUAAGUUGCCCAAUCUAGGCGUGACUGCGCACAGCAUGCGAGGGCAUGGCAGCAGGGGUAGUGCAGCGCCUGGAAGUAUCCACAAUCGCAGGUGCGAUCCCUCAGAGAAACC